UUCAUGAAGCUGGAAUUGCUAGUAAUGGCAGGUCAGCAUACUGCCGUGAAUACGUUCCCGGGCCUUGUACACGCCGCCCGUCACACCAUGAGAGUUGGGAAUACCCGAAGCCUGUGAGCUAACUUAUAGAGGCAGCAGUCGAAGGUAGAAUCAAUGAUUGGGGUGAAGUCGUAACAAGGUAAC
rnacentral:rRNA from 1 species